CAAGUACAGGAAGUAGAAGAGAGUCCAGAGCUGCUUUGGGAAGCCUUCCUUUAACUCACGCUAUGAGAAGUUGGGUGGCCUAGGUUCAGAACCAGGGUGUGUCUCUAAUGCUGUGCAAACUCGGGUGAAUCCUCUCUGGAAGUAACUAAGCUGAAGCUGAUGUUUACUGUCCCGGGCAUGUGUCAUCUUCUAUUUAUGCAUGCAAAACCUGCCCACCACACUCACUGAGCGUUCAUACGGAGCACCAUGCCCAGGGAGGAGUAACCCCCGGCAGCGAAGUGGUCCCGGUAGCGGCCCAUGCGGAUGGAGUCCAGCCAGUCUCCCACGGUGAGGCCCCCGCUGCCACCCCCGCCCCCUCGGAGGUCAAAGCAGCUCCGGGCAAAGGCGGGGGGCGGACACCUGAGGCACAGGGUCCCUAGGUACCUCCAGGACGUCCCCACACGCCCAAGCCCUGCAGCUCACCAGAGCCGAUGAUUUUCUCGAUGUGGAUCCAAGACGCCUCGAUCUCUCGGGUGAAACCACGGCCUGUCCGGCCCGGCUCCUCGGUAGGAGUGUGACCAAGAGUGGUUUCACCACAGUACCGACUGAGGUGGAUGGAAAGUGGUUCUCUAAAAGACUGGGUUAAGAAGGAUUCUGAGGCCACAUUCAGGCUCCAUAGGAAUCAGUACCAUGAUUGAUUCUACCAUGGGCAAAGAAGUGGAGUGUUGAGCCCCAGCCCAGCACUGACUCCUGCUGUGAUCGCCCCUCUCCCCUCUGGACCACGGGGCUCCUGCACUCACCCUGCCCAUUCUGAUAAUGCAUCUUCUCCUCGUCCGAGUGCUGGAAGGCCUUGCUGUAGCCACAAUGCCUGUGGAGGAGGACGGUCCUCAGCUUCAGCCCUGACCCCCAUCAGUGACACGUGCGAAUUCCCCCUUUCUUUCCUUCAUCCCCUUUCAAGUCAGUUCCGGCCACCCCAGCCACUGCCCUUGGGACAUCCUUGACAUUCACAAACACGGCAUGGGGCUUCGCUGGUGGUCCAGGGGUUAUGAAUCAGCCUUGGAACAUAGGGGAGGCGGGUUCAAUCCCUGAUCAGGGAACUGAAGUCCCACAUGCUGCAGAGCACCUAAGCCCAUAUGCCACAACUGGAGAGUCUGUGCACCUCAACACAAGAUCCCGCAACUAAACCCAACGCAGCCAAAUAAAUAACCA